AAUAAAUUUGUUAGUCUCUAAGGUGCCACAAGUACUCCUUUUCUUUUUACCAAAGGAAUAUGUCUACAGAAAACCAUAAAAGUUGCCUUUGAUCUAGUUAAAUGAGUUCUGUUGCCUGGCGGAGUGGAUAAUCCCUACAACUGAUAAAAUUCAUAAAUACUUAAUCUAACCCAUCUAGAGAAUCUGUACAGAAAUCCCUUUUCCUUUUUUUUUUUUUUUAAUCCAUGAAGAUUAAAAGCCUUGAAGAUUGUCUAAAGGGGAGUGAAAAGUUUACCUUUCAUUGCACUUUGUCUGUCCACCACAUUAAUGACCUUAACACUUGUGGAAUUAUUUUUUUUUAUUCUUGCUGUCUAAACCUGGUAUGUAAAUCUUUGCUAACCAGUGCAGAAGGUCUCUCGUCUGAAGACAAGCAAAAGGAGUCAUUGCUGUUGAUGACGCCAGCAGAUCCAGCAAUCAAAGGAAGAAAAGAAUUAACUGUCUUGGUGACUUGUUUGAGUAAGCAGCAUUGCCUGGACGUUAUCCAUUGGAUCUGACAAAUGAAUGUCCUCCUGAUACUGUCUUUCUGAAGGUCUGUCCUCAUACAUAGAUUCUUCCCGAUAAGGUGCCAAAAAUGGGCAGUGAGAUUACCUCACCUGAGGAGCUGCAGCCAGCGAUGUCACCUCCAUCAGGUUCACUGCUCGGAAAGCAAACACAGCAGCUGCCAGGACUGAAAAAGAAUGCACAAUAUUUAAGCUGCUGACCUAUUAAUUAAUUGUUAGAAUUAAUCUUGAUCUAAAAUUAAAAUUAUUAUCUCCUCUCUUUUUAUCAAUCAUUCUGGUUUUGAAGGAUAGUAAGUAGUAGAUUUCAGUGCUUUAGUUCUUGCCAGAUGGCUACUCCUUCAUAAAAAUGAAUAAGUAUGUUAUUGUGGUUUUUGGAAGAAGUUGAGUAAUAAUGUGUUUAACCUGACUGGGUUUUAACUGUGUGAAAGACAUGAUUAAAAAUAACAUUUUAAAUUGGUUCUUUUCUAGGCAGAGGAUAAACAUUUAUUUAAAAGAGCAAAAUUUCAAUGCAUAAUGUGAACAGAGGGCUCAUUUAUUAAUUUAUGUUGCUUUUGGACUGUAAAAUUCGUUUCUCACAUAAAGGGAGAUAUCCUUUCUCUGCAUACGUCAUACAGAUGCAAAUCUAGCUAAAAACUAAUCUUCUAUUCUUAAGGCAACAGCUUUUUGUUUUAUUGAGCUUCUGUAUCAGACUAGCUUCUUGCCUCACACUGUGCCUCUGUAAUAAUCAGAUGUGUGAUAUUUUCAAUUAAAAAAAGCAAACUUCUAAUUCCACUUUAAAUUACUUGUGAAAUGCUUUGCAUGCUUAUUGUCAAUAUAAAAAGAUACAAAAUUUAUAAUUAAUGAAUUUAAUUAAUGAUGUUACUAAAAAAAGUAAAUAAAGAGCAGGGGUAUACAGUAGUAGAAAAUAAGGAGGAUUUUCAGGACUCCUAUUGAUAGUAAAGGAGUCAUCCUUUCCCUGGGUGGGGAGGGGGCAGGGAGAACUACAUCUUUUAUAUAGCAGUGACAAACUAAUGUAAACUAGACUAAUGCACUACACUAUCUUUGGAGCAGGGAACAUACAGGCCUUCCUUUAUGUUCACAAAGCAGCUUGCACUUUAUCAAUGCUAACAAAAGAAAAUACUACUACUACUAAUAAUGGAAAAGUAGUCACAAUAAAACCAGUUUAACUCACUGACAAUUCCUGUAAGAACUGGGAAAUUUGUGAAUUACUGCUUUACCUAUUUAAUAUAUAUUGAUUUUCAGCAAAUCUGUUUUCUGCAGUCAUAAAAAGAAUUGAAUUUUCCUCUCUUGGUAACAUCAGUGUUAAUUUGUCAUGUAUUAUCUUUAAAAUUAUCCACAAAUAAAAUUUUCAUUACCAGCGAGAAUUUCUAGAGAAUUGUAUCCUAGGAUUCUGUCCCACAAAAGCAGAAGUUGGUCUGUAGCUAAGUAACCAGAGAAUGCUCGUACCAUCCAUUUAAACGAUAUUCGUAGUCUGUAAACAAUUGG